rnacentral:lncRNA from 8 species
AUGAGUUUCAUAGCAGAGCUGCUAGGAUGGUUCGAGGUGCAUAAACCUGACUUUGUCAAGCCAUUACUACCUCUAGACCUGACAGAUGCCUCGGGGUUGUUAGACUGCACCAGUCCUGUCAGUGGGAACAGCAACAGUGGCUCUCCCUCCUAUAUCUUCAAACAGCCCUUUGUCCCCAUAUCCUCUCCUGCGUCACCUGAAGGGAACAUGUGGACCAAGAAACAGAUCUGUCGUCCUCUCUCGGCUGUGACCUUCAGUAUUCCAUUCGGUCUAGACAGUGACGUGGACGUUGUCAUGGGCAACCCCGUGCAUUCUGCCAGCACCAACAGCCUGACCGCCGGCGUGCCCGCCAUGAUGACUUCAUCGAGCAUGAUGUCAUCGGGGAUGACACGGGUCCCCUACUGCCCCCCCGAGGACCUCAGUCACCUGGUCAGCGCCUCUGUCCCUCAACGCUCCUCCUGGGGCCCGCACACACACUCACACACACCGGCCCUAGGGGAGCUGCCGACCGUCAAGAUCAUCCACACUCCUGGAGGAGGAGGAGAAAGAGGUGGAGGAGGGAAAGGAGGAGAGAAAGGAGAUAAAGGAGGAGAGAGAGGAGGAGGAGGAGGAAGAGGAAGGCCAGAGCCACGCUUGUGUCCAGAAGGAGCUCCUGCAGGUUUCUUCCUUCAUUCUCCUGAAGACAACCUGACCCAGCUCAGCAGCUCCGCCCCCUGCCGCUCCGGAAUGCUCUACCGGCCAAUAGGAGGGGAGGGGGGCGGAGGAGAGAAGCGGAGAGUGGGAGGCAGGGAGAGGGGGGAGAAGGGGAGACGGACAUCGGAUGGCUCGCGGGACGAUGACUCGGUCCUCCGCGACGGAAGUGUGGACUCAUCGGAAGCUUCCGACGACCUUCCUAGAAACGCCCCCGGCAACGUCCGCCCUGGCCACGGUCGUCACGGCAACGGCAGC